rnacentral:rRNA from 1 species
ACGGGUGAGUAAUGCCUAGGAAUCUGCCUGGUAGUGGGGGACAACGUUUCGAAAGGAACGCUAAUACCGCAUACGUCCUACGGGAGAAAGCAGGGGACCUUCGGGCCUUGCGCUAUCAGAUGAGCCUAGGUCGGAUUAGCUAGUUGGUGAGGUAAUGGCUCACCAAGGCGACGAUCCGUAACUGGUCUGAGAGGAUGAUCAGUCACACUGGAACUGAGACACGGUCCAGACUCCUACGGGAGGCAGCAGUGGGGAAUAUUGGACAAUGGGCGAAAGCCUGAUCCAGCCAUGCCGCGUGUGUGAAGAAGGUCUUCGGAUUGUAAAGCACUUUAAGUUGGGAGGAAGGGUUGUAGAUUAAUACUCUGCAAUUUUGACGUUACCGACAGAAUAAGCACCGGCUAACUCUGUGCCAGCAGCCGCGGUAAUACAGAGGGUGCAAGCGUUAAUCGGAAUUACUGGGCGUAAAGCGCGCGUAGGUGGUUCGUUAAGUUGGAUGUGAAAUCCCCGGGCUCAACCUGGGAACUGCAUCCAAAACUGGCGAGCUAGAGUAUGGUAGAGGGUGGUGGAAUUUCCUGUGUAGCGG